CCAGGAUGGAGCCAGGAAUGGUGUCCGUCCUCACAAUGGAGAAUAGGGAAGAAUUCCGAGAUCCCAGGUUCUUCUCGGGUCUUCAGAGAUAGGUGUGGCCUUCUGGAUUCUUAUUGAAGUUGUAUUACAGAAUCAGCCAGGUGGGAGAAGCCAGUGUGGCCUUGUGCUUGUGGGAGAAAGCCACUCCUUCCAUGAGACAGCAAGUUGACAAGAACCUGCAGCAUCCGCAGUACCUGCCUCCUGCUUCUGACAAUGGAAUGAUGGUUAUUCAGAGGCCUGGAGGGCGCAGGAGUUAGCCACAUCAACUGGGGUAGCCUGUUUGUUGGUUGUAGAUAUUUUAAAGAGUGCUUUGGAAAUAGGCAAAACUGGGCAGGGAUUCCUUUUUUCUGCAUUCUACACUGUGAAGGUAUCUUAGAGUUUUUCAUUGCUCAACCCACAUAUCCUUACAUGGCAUCCCUGGUCUUGGGAAAGAAUCUGUUUUGGCUAGAAAUUUAAUAAAGUAAACCUAAAUAUAGAAAGGAGAAACAUGAUAGAAAGGAGAAACAUCAUUUCUUUUACUACAUCGUGAUCCACACUACCAAGCAUCAGCAGCUACUUGUAGAGCUUGUAUUUGGAGUGAGUUUCUUGGGUAGGAGAAAGCUCAGUCAUUUAGCCUAAGAUUGGUGUUGCAGACAAGAGGCUUUACUCCUGUAGGAGAUUUUUAACCGUGUCUGCUGUCCUGUCCACAGUUCUCACUGACCUCCAGUGUGUUGGCAGAAUUGUGAAUUUUCUCCACUUGCAUCUCUCUGUUGGAGGGUCAGGCAGUCUUAAAAGGGUCCCGAGGCAGCUGAGCUGUGUGUGAGGCUUCUCCUGCAGGAGAUGUGAACUGAUUGGUUGGAACCCCUACUCACCCCACAGAAACUGGGACCUCCCAACCCCUACUGUGUUCUCCUUCCCUCACCCCCUGCCUCCAUGUUAAAAAACAAAACAAAACAAAACAAAACAAAACUCCAGGAUAAUUGCGAUCACCCCUUUCUUCAGCAUUUCCAGCAACCCACCUAAGCGCGCCCAUCAGGGGAUCAGCUUUUAGGCACAAUCCCAGCUCCUAUCUGAUAUGUCAUCACUCCUCACCUAAGACCUAUAAAGCCCCCUUCCCUUAGCCUGGGUCCACAGUUUCUCUGGGCCUGUUCCUUGGGACUGGUGAAAAGGUCUAAUAAACCUGCCUUUAUCUGCUUCUAAUCUGGUCUAGUUUGGUUUAUAUUGCAUCCGCAGAAAACCUAUUGUGAACAAAUGAUUAUUCAUUCCAGAUAAGAUGAAUAAAGACUAAAGAAGUGAUUCUACUCACAUCUAGUUUGGUAAGCUAAUGAGUUUACUGGGUUACUUACAAGACCACAGUGACUCAAAAGACAGCUGUAUGACCCCGAAUCCACUGCAGCAUGGGUAAAAACUGCUUCCCUAGAGUUCCCAGCACCACCUGCACGAAGCUGCACUGCAGAGUCUCUUCCCCAGGAACUGUUUGCUGGUUGUAUGUCCUUGGGGAGGGGGCCUAUGCUUUCUGAGUUUCUUCCAACUACUGAGUUCCUCGGUUCCCUGAGUGGAGUAAACCUCCUCCCUCUGGGCAGGAAGAAAUGUUUCAUUUCAGAAGAGAUGAAUAGGUACAUCACAAACAACUGAGUUCCCCAAGGUGGUAUGGCCAGUUGAGCUGGUUUUGCUCUGUCUGUGUAAAAGCAGGCCUGCCUGAGGCUCAGGUUAGAGUUAGUAGCCUUGCACCUUGUCAUCAGGACAUUUUCUUUCUCAGUUUUGGAUGCUAGACCAUUACGAUAUUUGCAAAAGAGCCCUUCAACCAAAUACAGUAUUAUUUAUAAAAAUUCCUCCCCUCCAAGAAUGUGAUCGUUACAACUAUAGAACCUAUUAUACAAAACCUAUAAGCCAGUGUCAUGAUGCAGGCUUGUCACCCCAGUUAUUCCAAAGGCUGAUACCAGAGAACCUCACAUUUGAAGGCUGUGUGGCCUAGUGAGUAUAAUCAGGGCAGAUUGGGAGCUUAGCAAGUCCCUGUCUAAAAAUAAAGGAAAAGUAAAAAUGAGGCCAGGGCUAGAUAGCUCAGAAGCAGAGUGUCUGGGUAGCACAUAUAGGGCUAGGUAAAAUCCUGGACCAGAAAACGUUUGCUUAUAAUAGGCACAGUGUCUGGGCCCAGUGUCCUGUCUCAUUUCUCUCUGCUUGGUCCAUCUCUCAUUUCUUAAACUCAGCAUCAGGAGGAUACUGAGCAGGGCUGCAGGAGUAGAUUUGGGAACCAGCAACUGGAAGCUGCUUAACAACCCAUCAACGAGAGCUGUCCAUCACGGGGCUUUGGAAGAAAUCUUCCAUCUCUCUAGCUGCAGCCUUUGAAAUAUAUCCAACUGUGUCCAUCUACAGAGCCCCAUCUUCAUGUUUUUAAGUAU
rnacentral:lncRNA from 1 species